UACGGGGGGAGCAAGCGUUGUUCGGAUUUACUGGGCGUAAAGGGCGCGUAGGCGGCCACCGCAAGUCGACUGUGAAAUCUCCGGGCUUAACCCGGAAGGGUCAGCCGAUACUGCGGGGCUAGAGUGCAGAAGGGGCAACUGGAAUUCUCGGUGUAGCGGUGAAAUGCGUAGAUAUCGAGAGGAACACCUGCGGCGAAGGCGGGUUGCUGGGCUGACACUGACGCUGAUGUGCGAAAGCUAGGGGAGCGAACGGG
rnacentral:rRNA from 1 species